AGGGAUGCAGUCUGGGACACGUAGUUGCAAACCUAGCGACUUUGUUGUUAGAUUCAAUGACUUUUCAGACCCCCUAACGACUUUUUUUUAGAAAGAAAGUGACUUUUAUCGACUUCUUCUGGAGUUUAGAGACUCUGACAUGAAGCAGGCUUUCCUUACUGAGGAGUUAGCAACGCUGCUAAGGGUGCAGAGCCACACAUGCGCUCCGAGCUCUGCAUGGGAGACUGAAGCUGACAGAGCUGCAGCAGUUAGCAGGUUUCACCCUCAGAGACCACCAGGGGUUCAUGUUGAGGCAUUUUCAGUUUUUUUUUUUUUUUUUGCCAUAGACACUGUCAGCACAAUCUGCAGUUACACUAACAAAAAUGCUGCAAAAAAAAAAGAAUUAUGGAAAAAUUACACAUGGACUAACAUAGAGGAGGAUCUACACAAGUUUUUUACAUCAUGUUUUACAUCAUGCAUCAUUUACAUCAUGUUUUUUUGUAGUGGCAUAAAUAAAAAGUGACAUUUGUGAGACUAUACAGUGUUUUGUAAAUAAUUUUACAAAGAACACCUGGGCCAUUGCCUGCAUUUUGAUGUCAAUAGAGGUAAAUUACUAUGUUCUUUGUUAAAAAUUUGCAUAUGUUUUGAAGUUUACAAUUUUUAAUUGAAGUUUAAGUUUUAAAAACAGUUCAUCACACAUAUUUGUGGUUUUCACAGUAAAAACGUUACUUUUUUCCACUCGGAUUUUAUGUUUUGUGUGUGAAUUUGGGUCCAAUGUGUAAAUAUAGUAUGUCAAAAUGAUAAAAUAACUGUAAAUUGACACAGGUGAGGUUGUGCUGAAAAAAAUGAUACCAGGCAAGGCAAGGUAAAAAUUUUGUAAGAGGAAAUAUAAAGGUAAAAUCUAAAGUAGUCAAAAACGGCCAAUAGUGACUCACAGACUCCACAGACAAGUCCCUUUGGCGCCACUCAGUGGGCAAAACUACUUUGUCUACUGUAAUGUAUAUUUGGGUCAUCUUUGGCGCCCCCUAAAACGUAAACCGUGGGGUGCAGCGUCAUGAUUUUUACAACUUUGAAUGGCCAUGGAGUGUAGAUUGGCCUGAGCAAAUUUGGUGUCAGUGGGACGAAAGCCUUAGGAGGAGUUAGCGAAAUUCCAAUGUGUGCGAAUCGGCAAAAAAUGCAAAAUAGCCCUUUUACCGUACAUUAUACAGAUACGCGCUCUUUGACUUUUUCGUAGAUCUAAUUGAGAUACACAUGAUUGUCAAUUUUUGUGUCAUUUUGCCAAAGCGUACAGGCGUGACACUCAACAAUGUGUAUUUUCACCUUAGGGGACAAGAAAAAAUGGACUUUUUUCUCCUGCCAUGGGGGGGCGCUCUUUUGGGGAGUAAAAAUUCCUUCACAAAUGUGUUGAUGGCUGGACAUUGCAUCAUCCUAGAAAACUUGGAGGCCAGUGAGGACAAAAAUAAAAAGUUAUAAGACUUUUAAAAAUGUGGAUUUUUGGGUUAUCUUUGGCGCCCCCUAGAACGUAAACCGUGGGGUGCAGCGUCAUGAUUUGAAUAACUUUUAAUGGCCAUGGGGUGUAAUUUGGCCUGAGCAAAUGUGGUGCCGGUGGAACGAAAGCCUUCGGAGGAGUUAGCGAAAUUCCAAUGUGUGCGAAUCGGCAAAAAAUGCGGAAUAACCCUUUAACCGUACAUUAGACAGAUACGCGCGCAUGGACUUUUUUGUAGAUCUUAUUGAGAUACAUGUGUGUGUCAAUUUUUGUGUCAUUUUGACAAAGCGUACAGGCGUGACACUCAACAAUGUGUAUUUUCACCUUAGGGGACAAGAAAAAAAUGGACUUUUUUCUCCUGCCAUGGGGGGGCGCUCUUUUGGGGAGUAAAAAUUCCUUCACAAAUGUGUUGAUGGCUGGACAUUGCAUCAUCCUAGAAAACUUGGAGGCCAGUGAGGGCAAAAAUAAAAAGUUAUAAGACUUUUAAAAAUGUGGAUUUUAGGGUUAUCUUUGGCGCCCCCUAGAACCUAAACCGUGGGGUGCAGCGUCAUGAUUUGAAUAACUUUUAAUGGCCAUGGGGUGUAGAUUGGCCUGAGCAAAUGUGGUGCCGGUGGAACGAAAGCCUUCGGAGGAGUUAGCGAAAUUCCAAUGUGUGCGGAUCGGCAAAAAAUGCGAAAUAACCCUUUAACCGUACAUUUGACAGAUACGCCCGCACUGACUUUUUUGUAGAUCUUAUUGAGAUACAUGUGUGUGUCAAUUUUUGUGUCAUUUUGACAAAGCGUACAGGCGUGACAGUCAAUAGUGUGAAUUUUCACCUUAGGGGGCGCUAUGGAGCCAUUUUGCAUUUUCUUGUUUGGGCGACUUCGGAAUAUCAAAUUUUUCACCAGGCCCGGUCGUCCUGCCAAAUUUCCUGAGUUUUCGCCAGUGGGAAGUGGGCCAUUUUCCAGUUCAAAGGGGAGGAAAAAGAAGAAAGAAAGAAACAAAGAAAAACCCCUACAGGAAUAACAGGGCCUACGCCCGGCUGCUCUGCAGCUGGCUCGGGCCCUAAGAAAGAAACAAAGAAAAACCCCUACAGGAAUAACAGGGCCUACGCCCGGCUGCUCUGCAGCUGGCUCGGGCCCUAAAGAAAGAAAGAAAGAACUAGGGCCCCGGUGGGGCACUGUCGGGCCCGAGCCGUGUCGCGCCGCCCCCAGCGCGACCGCCUCCCCCUCCCGAUCGCGUCACACUCAAGGUCCAAAGAUGGUGUGCGCACUUGUCUGUGGUCAUUUCCCAUUAUAAUGAAUGGGAGGCGCAGUUUCUACCAAAACGCUCGCUGCAGACAAACUACAUGUCCUAUUUGAAAAAAGUCUGGACCAUGAGUGAGGGCACAAACACAGCUAGUAUAUAUCCAAAUGGCAAGUUGCUCCUCCUUUCGGUUUUGCA